rnacentral:rRNA from 1 species
CGAACGGGUGAGUAAUGCGUGACCAACCUGCCCCAUGCUCCAGAAUAGCUCUUGGAAACGGGUGGUAAUGCUGGAUGCUCCAACUUGACGCAUGUCUUGUUGGGAAAGUGUUUAGUGGCAUGGGAUGGGGUCGCGUCCUAUCAGCUUGUAGGCGGGGUAAUGGCCCACCUAGGCUUCGACGGGUAGCCGGCCUGAGGGGGCGGAAGGCCACAUUGGGACUGAGAUACGGCCCAGACUCCUACGGGAGGCAGCAGCA